rnacentral:rRNA from 1 species
ACGCACGCUGGCGGCGUGCUUAACCCAUGCAAGUCGAACGGAAAGGCCCCUUUGGGGGUACUCGAGUGGCGAACGGGUGAGUAACACGUGAGUAACCUGCCCUUGACUUCGGGAUAACUUCAGGAAACUGGGGCUAAUACCGGAUAGGAAUCCUUGCUGCAUGGUGGGGGUUGGAAAGCUUCGGCGGUUUUGGAUGGACUCGCGGCUUAUCAGCUUGUUGGUGGGGUAGUGGCUUACCAAGGCUUUGACGGGUAGCCGGCCUGAGAGGGCGACCGGCCACAUUGGGACUGAGAUACGGCCCAGACUCCUACGGGAGGCAGCAGUGGGGAAUAUUGCACAAUGGGCGGAAGCCUGAUGCAGCAACGCCGCGUGCGGGAUGACGGCCUUCGGGUUGUAAACCGCUUUCAGCAGGGGCGAAGCUUGUGGUGACGGUACCUGCAGAAGAAACACCGGCUAACUACGU